GGGGAAUUAGCUCAAGUGGUAGAGCGCUCGCUUAGCAUGUGAGAUGUACCCGGGAUCGAUACCCGGAUUCUCCA
rnacentral:tRNA from 1 species